UUUAGAGAUGAGUGGCGAACGGGUGAGUAAUACAUAGGUAACCUGCCCCUGUGCGGGGGAUAACAGGAGGAAACUCCUGCUAAUACCGCAUAGCCAUGAGCACCGCAUGGAGCUCAUGCCAAAUAUCCUUUAUGGGAUAGCGCAGGGAUGGACCUAUGGCGCAUUAGCUGGUUGGCGGGGCAACGGCCCACCAAGGCAACGAUGCGUAGCCGGCCUGAGAGGGCGGACGGCCACAUUGGGACUGAGACACGGCCCAGACUCCUACGGGAGGCAGCAGUAGGGAAUUUUCGGCAAUGGGGGAAACCCUGACCGAGCAACGCCGCGUGAGCGAAGAAGGCCUUCGGGUCGUAAAGCUCUGUUGUAAAGGAAGAACGGCGCAUACAGGAAAUGGUAUGCGAGUGACGGUACUUUACCAGAAAGCCACGGCUAACUACGUGCCAGCAGCCGCGGUAAUACGUAGGUGGCGAGCGUUAUCCGGAAUCAUUGGGCGUAAAGAGGGAGCAGGCGGCCGCAAGGGUCUGUGGUGAAAGACCGAAGCUAAACUUCGGUAAGCCAUGGAAACCGGGCGGCUAGAGUGCGGAAGAGGAUCGUGGAAUUCCAUGUGUAGCGGUGAAAUGCGUAGAUAUAUGGAGGAACACCAGUGGCGAAGGCGACGGUCUGGGCCGCAACUGACGCUCAUUCCCGAAAGCGUGGGGAGCAAAUAGGAUUAGAUACCCUAGUAGUCCACUCCGGGAACGAUGGUCACUAAGUGUCGGGGGUCAAACCCCGGUGCUGCAGUCAACGCAAUAAGUGACCCGCC
rnacentral:rRNA from 1 species